AGGGAACCGCCCAGGGUUGUAGGCAGAGUGAGUCGUGCUGCACUGGGAGCCGAGGACUGGGAGAGAUGACCUGCUGGAGCUGUACAAGGUGGGCAGAGGAGCCCAUGGCAAACCCUUUGGACCUGCCUAUUCAAGAUAUUUCAAUAGACCUCGAACCUUUACAAGGUCCAUUCAGGUGGGCUGGACGCUAAGCAGAAAGGACCUUGGAAACUUCUUCAAUCUUUACAUCUCAGGCACCGC